UACGUGAGGGGGCUAGCGUUGUCCGGAUUUAUUGGGCGUAAAGAGCGUGUAGGCGGCCAGGUAGGUCUGGUGUGAAAACUCGAGGCUUAACCUCGAGAUGUCAUCGGAAACCAAUCUGGCUAGAGUCCGGAAGAGGAGAGUGGAAUUCCUGGUGUAGCGAUGAAAUGCGCAGAUAUCAGGAAGAACACCAAUGGCGAAAGCAGCUCUCUGGGACGGUACUGACGCUGAGACGCGAAAGCGUGGGGAGCGAACAGG
rnacentral:rRNA from 1 species